GCGGGCUAGCAUGGCGCUAGUUAGCUAGCUGGAGCUCAGGAAAGCAAAGCUAAUGUUAUAUUUUCAGACUUUUAUUUGAAGACAAAUGGCAGAGAGAGACUGGUAGAAUUCAUAUGGAAACAAAGUCGAUCAGGCCUAAACAGCUGAAAUGUUCUUUGUGCUGCUACAAAACAGUUUCUGGCACUUAUUUAGAAAAACAGAAGAAAUCUGAAACGGUGAAGGAGCUUUGCUGUUUUAGCUGCAGGAUGAUUCAUCUCUCAGGCUUCGUGAGCCGACGACGUUUUUCCCCCCUGAGUUGCACAUUAACUGGAGUGGGAGGCAGCUGAAGCUGACAGAAAGAUGGAGAGCGAAAAGAAG